rnacentral:misc_RNA from 1 species
AACCAUAUACUACAAUGUGGCUAAUUUUAACAUUGUUUGUCAAAUGGCAUUUGUCUUUUUAUUAAGGACAAUUCCCAUUUCAGUUUAAGAACGUAUACAUGCAACGUGAUGUUAACGAAAUUUUAACAUCCCUGAAUGAUAUGAACAUGUUGCCUCUAUUUGAGUGUACUCAGCGAAUAUUUGAGAUUGACUUAGAUAGUGACAUGUAUGGUGACGAUGUUCUUUUAUCAUUUGUAUAA